GGUGGGGGGGGGACAGGAGAUGAGAGGGGCACUAGCCUCAGAAAGGCAACGGGAAGGGGAUCAGACUGUCCCCUAAGGAACCCGAAUCAAAUGUUCCUUCUCCAAGUUACGGUCUGGUGGCCUCUGCAGUCAGAGAAGUCCGGCAGGAGGUAUCCCUGAUGGAAAGAAUGGCCUCUCGACCCCCCACCUCCACCCCAAGUAGGCAGCUAAGAAUGGAGCAGCUGGGAGAGACCAGGAUAUGAUGAAGGAUGUGCUCUUCCCAGACACCUUUCACGGACAACAUAGCUGGCUUUUGUCGUUCUUUGCCACCUCAGAGCUGGAGAACAAGAGGUCACCGAUCCUUUGUGGGUCCUGGGAAUGGACACAUUAUCCAGUCCCAGAACCUCCUGCCCCAUACUGCUUCCUGCCCUGGACUCCCCAGGCAGGGUCCAAGUCUACCAUGGGUCUGUCACAGCCUCUCUUCCCCAUGCUCACCCACUUCUCCAUUGCCAAGAAGGUCAGCUCAGCAGUGACUUGUAUUUUGAUCCCCUGGGAGAAGGAUCAGAAUUGGGGAAAGAGGGAGAAUGACACCUCCCAUAUCUUUUUCCAUCGUGUCCAAAUGUAUUCUUCCCCCGAGUCCCAGCUCCAUCUAGAGGACUAGGAAGUGGCUGAUUGGGAAGUGACGUGUGACACAGCAAGCCCUUCUAUCCCCCUGCUGGUCCCCGAGACACCCAAGUUUGGAGCUAACCCUUCUCUUACCUCGCACACUGUCCAGUGAGGCCUGGAUGCUGUUUCGAAGUUCAGGGUCGCCCACCCUCUCUGCCAGCUUCCUGAGGCGGCUUAGAGACUGCUUGGCCACCUCGUGUCGUCUGACUUCUGCUCUCACUGCAGCAACAGCCAACUGCCUCUGGGCAUGCAUGUUGCCCAGACCUGUCUUGCCAGGCUAACAGCAACUUCUGGUCCUGAAGCCCAUGGCCCUGCAGUCCCCAAACCCCAGAAGGCCCCUUCUGCUGUGCCUCAGAGCUCACCGCUCCUGCCCGCCCUUCCGUCUGUCGGCCUCACUUCCUGACUGGACCUGAAAGAGAAGAGGGUGGAUGAGGAACUGAAGAACAGAAUGAAGACGCAGGGGAGAUAUUGAGAGAAAACAGUGGCUAGUUUGAUCUAAUCGCUUUGCUUCAGGACUCAAACCUUUCUGGCCCUGCCAAAUGUCUCUUCGCCUGCAUACCUUCUUGACAUUAAUUUGUGAAGGAUAGCAGAUUAUAACUAUGGAUUCUUUAUUGUAUAGAUAGAGACAAGGGAAUCAGAGUUGGGGUUACCUACUGGAACUUAUAAAACAGCGUGAUUAUAAUAGCGAA